rnacentral:rRNA from 1 species
GACGAACGCUGGCGGCGUGCCUAAUACAUGCAAGUUGAGCGCUGAAGGUUGGUACUUGUACCAACUGGAUGAGCAGCGAACGGGUGAGUAACGCGUGGGGAAUCUGCCUUUGAGCGGGGGACAACAUUUGGAAACGAAUGCUAAUACCGCAUAAAAACUUUAAACACAAGUUUUAAGUUUGAAAGAUGCAAUUGCAUCACUCAAAGAUGAUCCCGCGUUGUAUUAGCUAGUUGGUGAGGUAAAGGCUCACCAAGGCGAUGAUACAUAGCCGACCUGAGAGGGUGAUCGGCCACAUUGGGACCGAGACACGGCCCAAACUCCUACGGGAGGCAGCAGUAGGGAAUCUUCGGCAAUGGACGAAAGUCUGACCGAGCAACGCCGCGUGAGUGAAGAAGGUUUUCGGAUCGUAAAACUCUGUUGGUAGAGAAGAACGUUGGUGAGGGUGGAAAGCUCAUCAAGUGACGGUAACUACCCAGAAAGGGACGGCUAACUACGUG